rnacentral:lncRNA from 1 species
UGCUUGAGAAAUAACAUAAUACCUCUUAAGUGACUGGCAAGCAGCACAAAAAGUUAUCAAUCUUCCUUUUCAGAUUAGGAUGGUGUAGAUGUGAAUUCCUGGCCUGAUCGCAUUCUGACAGUGAAAGUGGAGGAGUGUAAUCUGAACACUCCCAAGUGAAAACAAGGGAGGCAGAAGCAGGAAAAGAGGAGUAGAAGUAGUGCAGGAACAUAUCCUGUUGUGAGCUGUCUCAAGAGAAGCCAGCUUUUACACCUGACAAUAGGCAAGUAACUUGAAACACAAAAAUAUAUAGGCUGUUUAUCUGUGUUCCUGUUUACAUAAAUUCAGAAACUUUCUGAAUGCAUU